UUCUCUCUUCACUUUUCUGCUCCUGCCUCUCUUCUUUCAAACCCUAGUGAAACUUCAUCUUCACAGAAAUCUCUCAAUCCUCUCAAUAAUCUUCGAUCAUCGACUUAUCUUCUCAUUUUUCAUUUUUCAUUUUCUUUCUCUCUCUUUUUCUCCUUCCGCCUCUCAUUCUCUUCCCUCUCAGAUUUUAGGGUUUCGUUUGGGUUAAUCAUCUGUUCGAUUGGCUAAAAUUUCUGGUCAUCACCCCGAAAUCAAAACCUUUAUUUUUUAACCCAUACAUCCAAAUCGAAACCCAUACACCAGAAAUGUCGAUCUAUCAUAUAUUUACUUGAAAUAUUUGUAACCCUAGAUCGAUUUUGUUUCUGAGAUUUAAAAUUCUAAUCAUCUGAUGGGUGUUUGUGCAACAGUUUGUUGAUUAUCAUCAUCUAAUAAGUGAUUUGUAACAGUUUGUUGAUUAUCAUCUGCUAUAAACAAUCAACUUCUACUAGUUUGAUUUGAUUUUGUUUGUUUGUUUUUUAUUUUGACUAACCCUGUGAAUAGUGUAGAGUUAGGGGUUUUAUUUGGAGGAGUAUAAAUUUGUAGAAGAAGAAGAGGAUUUGAAGGUUGGGAAAAAAGAAGAGAAGAUGCAUAAUGGUGAUGGUUGGAAGAGUAAAAGAAGAGAAGAUUUGGUCAAGUAUAUGUUGGUAAAAGGGUUUCAGGUGGAAGUGGGACUUCUGGUCCGACUGCUCUAGAGGUGGCUUUAAAGUUUGAGCAUAGAACUAGUAAGGGAUGUAACUAUGGACCUCCGUAUGAGUGGCAGGUCUACAAGAAAACCAUCCAAAAGAAGUGACUUGGCACUUAAUUGUGAAAUUAUAGAAGCUAGAUACAAGUAGAGAAGAGCCAAAGACCAAUUGGAACUCGUUCAAAUUCAGGAUUUUUACUUUUCAUUGUGUAGAGGACGAGAAGACGAAGCCAAUGGCGAAAGAACGGAGUCUUUCUGAGUUCGUAUGAGGAAGUUAUGAGCAAACCAGGAACUCCGAAUGCUAAAAGGACAAAAUGGUCAUUUACAGGAUAAGAACUAUUGGUACCCACAUUGCACGAUAAGGGCUGUCACGAUAGGGGCUGCCGAAAUUCAAAGACUGCUAAAGGCACCUGGAUUAUUACUCGGGGCACUUUGUCUUCCCUAUUUCUAAACAGAACACAGGUUAUGGCAGUCGGAACUUGAUGAUCAUGAUUAUCACGACGGUGAUGGAUUUUGAUCAACAAUUAUAUUCGAUUUUAAAUAUAUCAUUGGGUUGCUGGGGAUGAUAGAAAGCAUGGGUACAAGCGUGAUCUCAAAUCAGAGGGCUCGAAAUUCAGGAUGUGAUGCCGAUGAUCUUGGUAGAGAUGGAGAACUCAACAGUGGCUGCUGAUAUUAUCACCGGUGCUGAGGAGAGAAUGACGAUGGAGAUGAUCGAGAUGAUGGAGUUGGCUGUGUCGAGUGAUGAUGGAGUUAGAAGAUGGUGAUCGACAGGAGAUACAGAGAAGCGGGAAGCUCGAACUGUUGCUGCUGUCGUAAACUUGAGAGAAAACAGGGAAUGGAAGUGGAGUUCCGGAGCUGAUAGAGAGAUGGGCUGCUACCAUGAAUGGCAGUGACGAUGAUGUUCUCGGUGAUGAUGAUGCGAAGAUUAAAUGAAGAAGUAAAGAUGGAGUUUGUGCCGAGGGUGGUGAAGGAGUUGGUCUACUGUGGUUCGAAGAUAGUCUGCUACCAUUCAUUGCACCGGUGAUGACGUGGAAGAACAUGGCAGGGACGAUGUAGAUGGGAAGUCCAAGAGCCGUACAAGUCAGAAGAAAAGAUAUACGCAAGCACGUGGUAGGGUUCUGUUUGCAGCACUUCUGCCCAAGCUUUGACGCGUAGAGAGGAAGGUGAUGGUUGUGUGUACUCCGGAUCAUCGACGUUGGAUGUCCAAACGGUGUAUAAGAUCGAAUGGAUGAGAGGUUGUGCGGUAUUUCCUUGCUGCGCUCAAAUACACCAAACCAGCACUUGGAUAAACUUAACCCAAAAACUAGCUUACAAAACCCAAAAACAAACAAAAAUGAUUAACAAACCCAAAAAAUGUACCCUAAAAAGUGUACCGCAAAAAGUGCGAGAGGGAAGGGAACUUCUACCCUUCCCUAUCUAGAUGCCAAGCACGCUUCCUCUGUGUCCAUUGGAUUAUCCUUCGGUGUGAAUCACGGUUCUUUUUUUGGAUGGGUCUAUUAUUACUCAAAACAAAAAUAAUUUCAUCUUCUUUAAAUAUUCCUUUUAUAGUUAGAGACGGAAAGAAAUAAAGUUUUCCUCCCUGGCUUUUUCUUAUAAGCUUUAUUUUUAGUUUCAAUUUAUUUCUUUUUUUUUU